GCGGCUGCCGGUGACAGGAGCGGAGGAAGCAGCCGUGGGGCAGCCAAGGCGAUGGGAAAACCAGAUGGUCCUAAACCUCCUCCUCCCUCCUUCUCCACCCACCCACCCACCCAACCAUCCACCCGACCAUCCAUCCAUCCAUCCUAACCCACCCCUCUCCCUCCAACCCCACGGCCUGGCCCCCUUCCGUAGGGACCUGGCCGGGAUCACUCCGGGGAAAGGAUUGCCUUUGUCUAAAGGUCACCACCCGGAGCGCGGUGCCCAGGGUUGGGCCUGGUGCCUCCCAUUCCUAGGCCCAUGGAGUUGGAGUUCAGGGGCCGCCCCAAAUCCCAGAAGGUGACAGGCUUGGAGGCUUCCUUUUUCCCUCCCUUUGAUCCCUAGGAACAGGCCUCCUGCAGGACUAGCCCGCUGAGGGGGCGGGGGUCCUCUACACUCCCUGCCGGGGAUAGGAGAACCAAGUCAACUCCUCUCAUU
rnacentral:lncRNA from 1 species